AUGGAUAGUGUCAUCCUUCACAGUUCUGACAUGAACAUUUACGCAUUAGAUGUUCUAAGUCGGCUCCCUGCAGUGCAUGUCAACAUUAGAACACCUGGGGCAGAGCUGGCUCCCAGAACAACAGGAGAGACUUGCCAACAAGCUUGCUUAGGAUUUCUCUGCAGUGGAAAUUUUGGGACUGGGACCUGUUUGGAAAUAUCAGAGAUAACUAGAGGUGGGGGUAACGCCAAUGCUUCCUAGUAGAACAAGAUAGAAAACCACAUGGAUCAUUUCAAAGAAGCCACAGUUUGGAUUGGAUGCAAGAAGGAAUGGUUUAGAAGAGGUCACAGGUCACUGCCCCUUUGUUACUGAGCAUACUUUGGUUUUGUUUCCUCUGUCAUGAUUGGAAAAGGAUCUGUUGCUAACCUUCUAUCAAGUUGUUCUUGUAUAACUUGAGGCCCAGCAUCAACUCUCGAGAGGAGUGAAAAAGCUACUGAAUGCAAGUAGAACAUGGAGCCUCUCCAUCACUCUAUCAUUUUUGUCUAUCACUAAGUCUGUUGAUUCAUUGAAGUCCAAACUUUUGCUGGCACCACCUUGGCCUCUCACGGUCACCUCCACAAAAUCUCCAAGUGAGUCAGAUGAAAUGGUAAAGAGUAAAGAGGUGUGUUUCUGGCUCCUCCACUCCAGACUCUGAGCAAUGAACAACUCAAACAAAGUCUUUCAACCUGAAACUCUCAAGGGCAGGGUGUGGGGAGGUGUGCAGCAUGGUUCAUGUUCAGCAGGUUGAACAUGUGUACUUUCAGUCCAUUUAAUAACUAACUCCCCAGCUGAGCUGCAGUCCGGCUUCCAAUGCUUUUCAUAGAAAAUACCACUAAAACACCGAUCUUCAAAACUUUUGUGUUUUAUGGCCAGGAAUAAAAGCUUACCUCUUUCCCUGCA
rnacentral:lncRNA from 12 species